rnacentral:rRNA from 1 species
UCUGACCUGCCCAUUGGAAAACUGAAAGGCCGCGGUAUUAUGACCGUGCAAAGGUAGCAUAAUCAUUAGUUUUUUAAUUGAAGGCUAGAAUGAAUGGUUGGACAAGAAAUAAUCUGUCUUAAAUUAAUAUAUUGAAUUUAACUUUUAAGUGAAAAGGCUUAAAUGAUCUAAGGGGACGAUAAGACCCUAUAAAACUUUAUAUUUUAAGGUGGAAAAUAAUUUUAUUUUAAAAUUACUAUUUUAAAUUAUUUUGUUGGGGCGACAAGGAUAUAAGAAAGGAUAACUGUCUUUUAUUUUUACAAUAAUAUUUGAAUUAUUGAUCCUAAAAGGGAUUAAAGAUUAAGUUACUUUAGGGAUAACAGCGUAAUUUUCUUUGAGAGUUCUUAUCGACAAGAAAGUUUGCGACCUCGAUGUUGAAUUAAAGGUUCUUUAUAGAGUAGAGACUAUCAGAGAAGGUCUGUUCGACCUUUAAAAUUUUACAUGAUUUGA